UUUGAGCAAUUGAUAUCCUUUUUUCCUCUGAAUCAUCUUGUUCCUGUUGUCUCUGUAUAUAGGUUUCAACACAUUUCACUGAUAUCCAGCCAAGUUCCUCACCAGCAGAAGUCACAGUUUGGCUCAGGACAAAAGGUUUUUCCAAGAUCACAGUUAAAUCCCUUGGCAUCUUAAAUGGUAGACAGCUACUGUCGAUGAGCCAAGAAGAACUGAAAAUGGUCUGCCCGGAAGAGGGAAGAAAAGUAUUUUCAAUGCUUGCAGGAGUUAAAUCUCCACUGUAGUAAUGGUCCUCAGCGUUAGCGUUUGCAGAUCUCCCAAACCAUUUCAUCAUUUAUUUUGAAGAGAUCAUCACUGCAUCAAUGGCACAACUCACUGAAAAUGUUAUUAGCUGCAUGGUAAUCUUCAGUCCACUAAUUUUCCAGUUAGUUUGUAAUUGCUGUGUUUAAGAAUAGUCUUCAAGAGGGCUUUAAGAUGCUUCUGUAAAUGCUGUAGCAAGUAACAUGCUUACCAUUUUUGAAUGAUCUCAGGAACAUCUGUAAAGGGCUGUUAUUACAGUGGUGACAUGCUCUUCUAUUAUUGGACUAUGGCUUUCAGGAUAGGGAUAAUA
rnacentral:lncRNA from 1 species